rnacentral:lncRNA from 1 species
CUGGGCGGAGGGGCUCUAACGAAUUUUGAUUAAAUGCAUGAAGGGCAAAAUGGACAACUCAGGAGAGAAAGUGACACUGAGGAAAACACCAGUGAUGGACUGGCCGGAGCAGGCGAGACCGCGUCACCAUAUUUACAAAGUGGCUCUGAGAAGGCUGGCAACCCCGUCUCCUCUUGCUGCCAGCGCUGGACUGUCUGCUCUGUGUUUCCGCCUCUCAAAUUCUUUCCAGCAAAAUGUGUGUUAUGUUCCUCCAAUCACACUGGGGUCUUCUCUCUUUUGCUAUGCACUGCCUUAAAUUUGCGUUUAAAGACUCACAGCAGUUCAUGCUGGAGCUGCCAGAUCUUUAAUGGGCUCAUUCCCAUCUGGAUGCAAAACGGUGGACAAGAGCUCCCAAAGAGGCCUCAUCCCCUGGGAACCAUCACCUCUGUUGUCAGUGUAGGUCAGUGUGUUGCCUUCCUCAAGAGCAUCUGGACUUAGAGCUCUCCUAAAAACUGAGGAGGGAGGGGGGCUUUAUUGAAUCUAUGCGUGGAUGAGCCUGAGGGUGGGGGAAGAGCCUAUGAAGGAGCCACACCUCGCAGAAGCUGCCUCCUAAUGAUGAUGUGAGCAGAGGGGUGGAGCAUUUGAUUUGCGCCCAUCCUGAAGCAAAUCAUUACCUGAAGCAGCUGGUGCUACCACAACUGAGCUUCUGAGUGUGCAGAGCCAAGUGGCUAGGGAUGAAGAAGUCACAUCCCAACUGCCCACCGAUUGCAAAGCGCUGCUCUGCACAGAAGUCAGAGCUGAAGGCCUCUGCUGACUUGCCUGCAUAGUCAUUAAUGUUGUGCCUAGACAUUCACCCUCACUGUGGAAGGCAUGACCAGCCUUGCUAGAACCCCGGGUGAUGGCAGUCCAGUUUUACCAUGCCCGUAGUAAAUAAAAUUACGUUCUCAAGCGUACUGUGAAUUUAUUUUUAAUCUACGGGGCUGUUGGGGGAAAAUGGUGUGAUAGAGAAACAAAACUCCCAAAUACACACACACACACACACACACACACACCUUUGUUCCUUA